GUUGUGUUUGCCACAGCGAGAACCAAUACAUUUGUCGUGUGUGAUAUUAGCCAAGCCCUAUGUGAUGCUGUUUUACAAUAUCUUCUAUUUGUGUUGUUUAUUUUGUUCACUUUGCUUUACUCUAAGCUGUUUCGUUUUAUUAUAUUUGGCAGGCCGCCUCCCGUAUGUAAUGCAUAAACUACAUUUCCCAUGAAAACAUCGGGUCUAUGACGUCGACGCUGGAAUUCAUCAAGUUAUCUUGCACGAUAAGAAACCAGGCAGCGUCGGUUGUAGUCAAAGAGGAUUCCCAGGUUAAAUUGUAACCAGACACUUAAAGCGACUGCUUUGGCUAUAAUAAAUAGGACCGCUAUCUGACACCGCUUGCGGAGGUCGAAAAAGAAACAGGAAGAAGACAUUCAACACUAGAAGACAACGCAGAGAGAGAGAGAGAGAUUGGGAUUGUGAAUGAGA